AACGAACGCUGGCGGCAUGCCUAACACAUGCAAGUCGAACGAUCCCUUCGGGGAUAGUGGCGCACGGGUGCGUAACGCGUGGGAACCUGCCCUUAGGUUCGGAAUAACUCAGAGAAAUUUUAGCUAAUACCGGAUAAUGUCUUCGGACCAAAGAUUUAUCGCCUUUGGAUGGGCCCGCGUUGGAUUAGCUAGUUGGUGGGGUAAAGGCCUACCAAGGCGACGAUCCAUAGCUGGUCUGAGAGGAUGAUCAGCCACACUGGGACUGAGACACGGCCCAGACUCCUACGGGAGGCAGCAGUGGGGAAUAUUGGACAAUGGGCGAAAGCCUGAUCCAGCAAUGCCGCGUGAGUGAUGAAGGCCUUAGGGUUGUAAAGCUCUUUUACCCGGGAUGAUAAUGACAGUACCGGGAGAAUAAGCCCCGGCUAACUCCGUG
rnacentral:rRNA from 1 species